rnacentral:rRNA from 1 species
CCCUUAGAUGUUCUGGGCCGCACGCGCGCUACACUGAGCGGAUCAGCGGGUCAGGUUGCGCGAAAGUGUUUCCUAAUCUUUAAAUCCGCUCGUGAUGGGGAUUGACGGUUGCAAUUUUCCGUCAUGAACGAGGAAUACCUUGUAAGCGCGGGUCAUCAUCCCGCGCUGAAUACGUCCCUGCCCUUUGUACACACCGCCCGUCGCUCCUACCGAUUGAGUGGUCCGGUGAGGCUUUGGGAUCUGAGCGGAAAGAGCGUUUCGCUGUUUCUGCCCGGAAAACUCAGUCGAACCUUAUCAUUUAGAGGAAGGAGAAGUCGUAACA